rnacentral:tRNA from 2 species
GAGCCUGUCGUCCAGCCUGGAUAGGACAUCAGCCUUCUAAGCUGAAUACCGGGGUUCAAAUCCUCGCAGGCUCA